CAUGCAAGUCGAACGAUGAUGCCCAGCUUGCUGGGUGGAUUAGUGGCGAACGGGUGAGUAACACGUGAGUAACCUGCCCCUGACUCUGGGAUAAGCGUUGGAAACGACGUCUAAUACUGGAUAUGAUCACUGGCCGCAUGGUCUGGUGGUGGAAAGAUUUUUUGGUUGGGGAUGGACUCGCGGCCUAUCAGCUUGUUGGUGAGGUAAUGGCUCACCAAGGCGACGACGGGUAGCCGGCCUGAGAGGGUGACCGGCCACACUGGGACUGAGACACGGCCCAGACUCCUACGGGAGGCAGCAGUGGGGAAUAUUGCACAAUGGGCGAAAGCCUGAUGCAGCAACGCCGCGUGAGGGAUGACGGCCUUCGGGUUGUAAACCUCUUUUAGUAGGGAAGAAGCGAAAGUGACGGUACCUGCAGAAAAAGCACCGGCUAACUACGUGCCAGCAGCCGCGGUAAUACGUAGGGUGCAAGCGUUGUCCGGAAUUAUUGGGCGUAAAGAGCUCGUAGGCGGUUUGUCGCGUCUGCUGUGAAAUCCCGAGGCUCAACCUCGGGCUUGCAGUGGGUACGGGCAGACUAGAGUGCGGUAGGGGAGAUUGGAAUUCCUGGUGUAGCGGUGGAAUGCGCAGAUAUCAGGAGGAACACCGAUGGCGAAGGCAGAUCUCUGGGCCGUAACUGACGCUGAGGAGCGAAAGCAUGGGGAGCGAACAGGAUUAGAUACCCUGGUAGUCCAUGCCGUAAACGUUGGGCGCUAGAUGUAGGGACCUUUCCACGGUUUCUGUGUCGUAGCUAACGCAUUAAGCGCCCCGCCUGGGGAGUACGGCCGCAAGGCUAAAACUCAAAGGAAUUGACGGGGGCCCGCACAAGCGGCGGAGCAUGCGGAUUAAUUCGAUGCAACGCGAAGAACCUUACCAAGGCUUGACAUACACCGGAAACGGCCAGAGAUGGUCGCCCCCUUGUGGUCGGUGUACAGGUGGUGCAUGGUUGUCGUCAGCUCGUGUCGUGAGAUGUUGGGUUAAGUCCCGCAACGAGCGCAACCCUCGUUCUAUGUUGCCAGCGGGUUAUGCCGGGGACUCAUAGGAGACUGCCGGGGUCAACUCGGAGGAAGGUGGGGAUGACGUCAAAUCAUCAUGCCCCUUAUGUCUUGGGCUUCACGCAUGCUACAAUGGCCGGUACAAAGGGCUGCGAUACCGUAAGGUGGAGCGAAUCCCAAAAAGCCGGUCUCAGUUCGGAUUGAGGUCUGCAACUCGACCUCAUGAAGUCGGAGUCGCUAGUAAUCGCAGAUCAGCAACGCUGCGGUGAAUACGUUCCCGGGCCUUGUACACACCGCCCGUCAAGUCAUGAAAGUCGGUAACACCCGAAGCCGGUGGCCUAACCCUUGUGGAAGGAGCCGUCGAAGGUGGGAUCGGUGAUAGGACUAAGUCGUAACAAGUGCGACAGUC
rnacentral:rRNA from 1 species